CUGUACCUUACUUCUAGAAGGCACUUCUUUGAUGUCAGCUUGCAGCCAGAUCCUGUUAGGCCUUUGUCUGCCUUUGAGUCCUCUUCUCUCAAAAGCCUUGUCCUCAGAGUGUGUACUUGUAGCCCAUGAUCAAGCCACCUAUUAAAUUUGUUCUUUGUUAAACUUAAAUAGGUUGUUUCUCUUGCCUUUUUACUGGAGGUUAGGUUGUCCAGACCUCAGAGAUUUUUAUCUCCUUUCUCUAAACCAUUUCAAUGUGUCAAGGUUUAUUUUUAAAGAGAGGAUACCAGAACUGGACACAGUGUUUCAGUAAUGGUUUCAAAGUAGGGUUUUUUAUAAGGCCCAUCAACUUUUUCUUGAUAUUUCUCUGCCUUUGCCACCUCUGCCGCCACAUUGUGCUUGUCAGUCCUGUUCAGUUGACACCACCCCCAGUCCCAUUCUGAGCAGUUAUUUUACAGUCUAGUGCCCCCUCCUAUCAGUGUGGCCUAUGCUGUCUGUUCCUAGAUGUAUCUCUUUGUAUUUAGCUGUCUUACUCUAGACUGUUACCUUGUUCACUGCAUGCUGGUGUGGGGAGAGAUGCCUGCCAAUUGAGAUGGGGCUCAGGCAGAUGUUUGAAGUGGAGAAUUUCCACCUUCCUUCCUCUUCCCACUCCCCUCUCGGUGUCAGGCUCCAGAGUUCCCUUACUGAACAGUUUGACUUUGCAGAAUAAUACCAAGUAUCAUUGUAGGAUCCCUGUUUGCACCAAAGGGGCUUGAGCCAACUUGCUUCAUCUCAAAGAGAAAUGGCCUGGAGGUGUUGUGUGCCAGAAUAAGCCUGGGGGCUCCAGAAGUUUUAAUGUUAAGAUGCAGAGCUGGAGUGGCAGCAGAUUCGGACGCAGACAGAGAAUACAGGUUUGCUUUGGGACACACUUCUGUUGGAUUUAAUACCUGCCCUGCUAGCAACAACUUUCAGCUAUGGAAUCGAGAUGAGGAGGUGGCUGCAGAAGGAGCCAGGAAGGCUGGUGCGAUUGAGCUGCGCUGUCUGCCGCAGCGGAGGAGGAACACCCCUUCCCUUUCCACAUGGGACCUGGGGGCAGAGAUUGAACCUGCUGCGUAUGGAUGAAUUGCAAAUCAGUUUGGAACUACAGUAUAAGCAUUUUUCCAGGAUGAAAGCUGACUCCAUUCAGAGCACCAGACUUCAUGCAAUACCAUGUAAUGUAGCAUUGUGAGGUGUUGGCUAGAUUUUUUUUCAGUUUACUGUACAUAUAUUCCUGUAUCCUGUCUCAGAAAUAGCUGUACCUUUUUACUUGCAAGCAUUUUUUGCUGAAAAAAAUAAAUCUGUGUCCUUUUGGAGAAUUGUCCUUGUU
rnacentral:lncRNA from 1 species